GGGUGUAACGGCAAUCUGGCUGUGACUUCUUUUAUCAUUGACCAGCGGGGUUGGUUUGGCUGAUCUAGCUGUGACUUGGCUAUGUCUCCUUUCUUGUCACCUCUCCAUUUGCGUCGCUCUGGGAGCUGCACGCUGGACCAGACGAAAUUCCCCGAUAGAGAAAGAGGGGUCUUCUGUCAAGGUCGUAUGACUAGCUGUGCCCCCUGCUAGAGCCUCCAAACAACCUCUCAAAACUGUGUGAGUUUUUAUUAUUAUUAUUUUUAACAGUCUAACAGGUAAAGAUGGACGCCAUUUCAUUGU
rnacentral:snRNA from 1 species